AGGAAAAGUUCUCACUUGGCUGAGAGUGAAGGAGAUAAGCUACAAUAAAUAAGGAUGAAGGUCACCUCAGCUCACAGAUGGUGGCAAUUUAUAACUGCACAGAACUGGGCAGCAAUUGAAUUGCGCCUAUACACACACACACGCCCCUAGAAUACAUAGCAAACGUGUAAAUGCCCCUUUGUCACCCCUUUCGUCACACCCAUUCAGACACAAAUGUUAUAAAAUAAAGUUUUUUUUCCAGG